CUGGUGAGUAACACGUGGGAAACCUGCCCAGAAGCGGGGGAUAACACCUGGAAACAGAUGCUAAUACCGCAUAACAACUUGGACCGCAUGGUCCGAGUUUGAAAGAUGGCUUCGGCUAUCACUUUUGGAUGGUCCCGCGGCGUAUUAGCUAGAUGGUGGGGUAACGGCUCACCAUGGCAAUGAUACGUAGCCGACCUGAGAGGGUAAUCGGCCACAUUGGGACUGAGACACGGCCCAAACUCCUACGGGAGGCAGCAGUAGGGAAUCUUCCACAAUGGACGAAAGUCUGAUGGAGCAACGCCGCGUGAGUGAAGAAGGGUUUCGGCUCGUAAAACUCUGUUGUUAAAGAAGAACAUAUCUGAGAGUAACUGUUCAGGUAUUGACGGUAUUUAACCAGAAAGCCACGGCUAACUACGUGCCAGCAGCCGCGGUAAUACGUAGGUGGCAAGCGUUGUCCGGAUUUAUUGGGCGUAAAGCGAGCGCAGGCGGUUUUUUAAGUCUGAUGUGAAAGCCUUCGGCUCAACCGAAGAAGUGCAUCGGAAACUGGGAAACUUGAGUGCAGAAGAGGACAGUGGAACUCCAUGUGUAGCGGUGAAAUGCGUAGAUAUAUGGAAGAACACCAGUGGCGAAGGCGGCUGUCUGGUCUGUAACUGACGCUGAGGCUCGAAAGUAUGGGUAGCAAACAGGAUUAGAUACCCUGGUAGUCCAUACCGUAAACGAUGAAUGCU
rnacentral:rRNA from 1 species